CAGAGUAUUCCAGUUGUAGUCCCGAACGACAAAACUGAAAGUAAAACUCCAAGCAUUACAAACAAUAAUGCUGCUCACUUUUCAGAAGUUGAGGAAAACCCUGAAGAACCUGCAGUAAAAGAAAAAACUGAAAAACCAGUUCUUGAAGAGAAACCUGAAGAACCAACAGUUGAAGAGAAAUCUGAAGAACCAGUUGAGGAGAAACCUGAAGAACCAACAGCUGAAGAGAAACCUGAAGAACCAGCAACUAAAGAAAAACAAGUGCUAGUAGGGGAGGAAACAGCUGAAGAACUAGCGCUUGAAGAGAAACCUGAAGAACUAACGAUUGAACAGACAGAUGAAGAACUAGUUGUUGAAGAUAAAACUGAAAAACCACCAAAUAAAGAGGAGAGACCUGAAACGGUAACUCUCCUUUAGCAGUGUCACAGAGUUUAUCCAUCCUAUUAGUUCUAUAUGUGCAACGAAUUCAUAUCUGUUUAUCUAUUGAAAUACUAAGUGAAAAUUCAAAUUUUCUUGCAGAAUUUGCCCAUUGCAGACUCAAAGGACCAGACUGACAAUGCAAUUCCAUGCGAUACCAACAAUGAUAUUGCUGACUAUGCAACAGUUGAGGAAAAACCUGAAGAAACAGUAGUUGAAGAAAAACAUGAAGAACCUGCAAUUGAAAAGAAAUUUGAAGAAUCAACAGUUAUGGAGAAACCUGAAGAACCAGCAGUGGAAGAAAAACCUGAAGAACCAACAGUUAAAGAGGAACCUGAAAAAUCAGUGAUGGAAGAGAAACCUGAAGAACCAAUUGUUGAGGAGAAACUUGAAGAACCAACUGUUGAAGAGAAACCUGAAAAAUCACUGAUUGAAGAAACACCUGAAGAACCAAUAUGGGAAGAAACACCUAAAGAACUAGCAUUUGAAGAGAAACCAGAAGAACCAGCAGUUGAAGAGGAGAAACCUGAAAAGGUAACUCUUUUGGAAGAGGUGAGUAUCAAGCAUUAGCACAUAGUUUAUCCAUCAUGUUAUUUCUGUAUGUGCAUCGAUUCACAUCUGCUUAUCUAUUGAAAGUCUAAAUGAGACUUUAAAUUCUUCUUGCAGAAUAUACCAGCUGUAGAUUUCAACGACAAGACUGACCGUGAAAUUCCAUGCGAUACCAACAAUGAUAUUGCUGACUAUGCAACAGUUGAGGAAAAACCUGAAGAACCGGUAGUUGAAGAAAAACAUGAAGAACCUGCAAUUGAAAAGAAAUUUGAAGAAUCAACGGUUAUGGAGAAACCUGAAAAACCAGUGGUUAAGGUACAACCUGAAGAACCAGCAGUGGAAGAAAAAGUUGAAGAACCAACAGUUAAUGAGGAACCUGAAAAAUCAGCGAUGGAAGAGAACCCUGAAGAAUCAAUUGUUGAGGAGAAACUUGAAGAACCAACUGUUGAAGAGAAACCUGAAAAAUCACUGAUUGAAGAAACACCUGAAGAACCAAUAUGGAAAGAAACACCUAAAGAACUAGCAUUUGAAGAGCAACCAGAAGAACCAGCAGUUGAAGAGGAGAAACCUGAAAAGGUAUCUCUUUUGGA
rnacentral:lncRNA from 1 species